rnacentral:rRNA from 1 species
GUCCAUGCCGUAAACGUUGGGCACUAGGUGUGGGUCUCAACCAACGAGAUCCGCGCCGUCGCUAACGCAUUAAGUGCCCCGCCUGGGGAGUACGGUCGCAAGACUAAAACUCAAAGGAAUUGACGGGGGCCCGCACAAGCAGCGGAGCGUGUUGCUUAAUUCGAUGCAACGCGAAGAACCUUACCUGGGUUUGACAUGUAGGGAAAAGCUCUAGAGAUAGGGUGUCCUUCGGGGCCUUACACAGGUGGUGCAUGGCUGUCGU